GAGCCACCCAGGCACCCCAGACAAAUACUGAUACCGUACAAACGAUGCCAAAAUAGUCAAGUUCUAAUUCCUUAUUUCCAAUACUGAACAAAAAGAGAAAUGAGAGGACGUAUCACACAGGAAGUGAUAUGAUGAAAGCCUUGCAAGUAGGGAAAACGUCACAGCAUAUUCCAACAGCAGCAUAGCCCAAGCACCGAGAGAUGAAAAUGCACAGCAUAUUUAAGGAAAUAUGGAGCAGUUCAAUGGAAAUUAAAACACGGGAAAAAUGGUGUAAGACUAUACACUCAGGUACCAUACAGCAGGCAGGGAAAACAGUGACUCCUGAGAGAAGAAAAAUACAUGAAGUGAGCCCUGAGGUCACCCCAGAUCUUUAUCUAAAGAUCUGGGCUGCCCAUUGCUUGGAAUGAGCCAACGGUGCUGCUUUAAUUCUUUGAAUGUAAAAAGGAAGUAAAAUCUGGAGACUGUACUAUUCCAGUGGGGUUAAUGCUGCACAGUGGAACAACACAGCAGGACUUUAAAGAAUGAAAAGUAAUG